rnacentral:misc_RNA from 1 species
UAAUAAGUGUUUUAUGGCACUUUUUUAAAUCCAUAUCCACCUUGUGUGCAAUGUCAGUCGAUCUUCUUCAUGGAGAUCGACCAAACAUCAACCUUUAUCUUUUAACUCUUUGUCUGAAAAAAUAUUAUGAAUAAACAAUUCAAAAUA